UACGUAGGGGGCUAGCGUUGUCCGGAAUCAUUGGGCGUAAAGAGCGCGUAGGCGGCCAGAUAAGUCCGGUGUGAAAGUCAAAGGCUCAACCUUUGAAUGCCGCUGGAAACUGUCUGGCUAGAGUCCGGAAGAGGCGAGUGGAAUUCCUGGUGUAGCGGUGGAAUGCGCAGAUAUCAGGAGGAACACCAAUAGCGAAGGCAGCUCGCUGGGACGGUACUGACGCUAAGGCGCGAAAGCGUGGGGAGCGAACAGG
rnacentral:rRNA from 1 species